rnacentral:rRNA from 1 species
AUGGGAGGGUCGAAGUUGGGGGUCGUGGCCUCGCGACAUCUGGCCAGGGUUUGGCGAGAAAUCGAGCCUGUGCUCUGGCUUGGAGCAACUGCUGGCUUGUGCUGGGCAGCGUGGAGAUACUACCAAUCCUGCGCCUGCCUCCGCAGCUACGGCCGGAAGAUGGGGGCGUUAUCCGAGGGCGAGGGCGAUCCAGUGAUCGGACGCGACAAGGAGAUUGACAGGGUCAUAUGCAUUCUCUGCCGCCGGACCAAGAACUGCGCCGCGCUCGUCGGGGAGGCAGGGGUCGGCAAGACGGCCAUCAUUGAGGGCCUCACCCAGCGCAUUGCCAGCGGGAAAGUCCCUGCGAGCCUUGCCGGAGCGCGUGUGGUAGAGGUCGACCUCGGAGCCAUGCUGGCCGGGACUAGUCUCCGUGGCAUGUUUGAGGAGCGCAUCAAGGACGUGAUAAAGAGCGCAGAGGACGGGGAUGGCAAGGUGAUCCUCUUCAUCGACGAGAUGCACAUGCUUCUUGGUGCCGGCGACGAUGUAGGUGGCACGGACGCCGCCAACCUGCUGAAGCCGGCGCUGGCCCGUGGCCGCAUCCGCUGUGUCGGCGCCACCACCCUCAAAGAGUACCACAGGUAUAUUCAGCCGGAUGCCGCACUCGAGCGCCGGUUCCAAAAGGUUCAUGUCAAGGAGCCGAGCGUGCAGGCGACCGUCACCAUUCUGCAAGGGCUUAAACAGCGGUACCAAGACCACCAUGGCUUGGAAAUUCAGGACGCUGCUCUGGUUGCUGCCGCAGAGCUCGCCGGCCGCUAUAUCACCGAUCGCCAUUUUCCUGAUAAGGCAAUUGAUCUAAUUGAUGAGGCAUGCGCUACCGCAAGGAUGCUGCUCGACAACGAAAAUGAAGCAACCGGUGGCACCAUGACGCGGAUUUACAACAAAAAAGAAGCGACUGCACAAAGUAGAUCUAUAAAUGCAGUGAAGAAAGGAAUUGUUGAUCCGAGUCAGGUCGCACAGGUUGUGAGCCUGUGGACUGGAAUUCCUGUCGCUGCUAUUGAUCAAGAGGAGAAGGAGAAAUUACUACACCUAGCAGACAAAUUGCACGAGCGAGUUGUUGGCCAGGAUGAGGCGGUCAAUUUGGUUGCACAGACAGUCCUACGUUCCAGAAUCGGCCUUGAUCAGCCGGGCCAACCAAUAGGUUCUUUUCUAUUUUUGGGCUCGACUGGUGUUGGAAAGACUGAGCUUGCAAAAGCUCUUGCCGAGCAGCUAUUUGACAAUGAAAAUAUGUUGGUUCGCUUUGACAUGUCCGAAUAUGGUACGAAGGGAUCUGUGUUGCGCCUCAUUGGAGCACCUCCAAGCUAUUAUGGUUAUGACGAUGGAGGGCAACUGACUGAAAAAGUCAAGAAGCACCCAUACAGUGUCAUCCUGUUUGAUGAGGUGGAGAAGGCGCAUCGCUCGGUGUACAAUAUUUUUCUUCAACUCCUUGAUGAUGGUUUGUUGACUGAUGGCAAAGGCCAGACAGUAGAUUUCAAGAACACUCUCAUCAUUAUGACCUCAAAUCUUGGGUCAAAGCACCUUGCAGCAGGAAUGGUUGGAGAGAACACAAUGCAAGAAACACACAAGCUUGUAAUGAAAGAGGUUCGGAAACGCUUCAAGCCCGAGCUUCUCAACAGGCUGAGUGAGAUUGUGAUAUUUGAGCCACUUUCACACGACAAACUGAAGGAGAUUGUGAAAAUCCAGAUGAAGGGCGCUGCUGCCAGAGUAGCUAAGAAGGGCAUCUCUCUACACGCGAGUGAUGCUACAUUGGAUGUUAUCUUGUCAGAGUCAUACGAGCCAAUGUACGGUGCAAGGCCUAUUAAAAGGUGGAUACAGAAGAAUGUGAUGAACACCAUCUGUGAGAUGCUUGUCAAAGGAGAAGUUGGCGAAGGCUCAACAAUCUCCAUUGAUGCCGCCGACCACAACAAGGGGCUCAAGUAUGAAGUGGUGAAGAAGGCGGCAGAUCCUUCCCGCAACAUCUUGGUCCCAGCACCAGAGCCUCUUGCUUGCCCCGACGAGGAAACCGAUGAUUCGGUCAUGGUCACUUCAUUGACAAAGUGUCUUGGAUAG